AAGAGUAUAAUAUUAGGCUUGUCAUGGUUAGAGCAUCUGCAUUAGUGAACUCCAUGGGGAGUUCACACAGUUUUCGAAAAAAAAAAAAUAUUAAAAUAAACAAAAGCAAUGAACCUCCCUCUUAGAAGUUCACUGCACUGAACCCGGAUCAUCACUGUAGCGCGGGCCCCACGACACGUGGCGGCCCGCGGUUGGUCCGGUUAUAAUUUUUUUUUUUUUUUUUUUUUUAAAAAAAAAACAAAAAUCAAACAGAAAAAAAAUAAUAAAAAAAAAAUGCUUUGUGAACCCCUUCCAAGGGGUUCACUAAUGCUGAUGCUCUUAGUGCUACAAAUUUCAGUUGUCUAGAAUUUUGUUUGCAUUUAGAACUUGGUAAUACAGAAAUUUAGAUUGUAUUAGUUAUUUAAUUGCGAGUGGUAGACUACAUUUUUUACAUAUAAUUGAGACCACAAAAUAUUAUUUGUGAGAAGGUAUAAGGAGAUGUGGUGACAAGAAUAGAGCAUGUGAGAUGUGACCGUUUAGAGCAAAUUGCUGCUGCUUUUUCGCUAUAUUCACGUCCUCAACUUCUCUAUUUAUCACUUUCUUGUGUAUCCAUCUCCCUUGUUUUAAUUUCUUCUUGUCUUUUUCCAAGUCACAAGAGAUCCUACAAACCUUCACUUUUCAACUAUGCAGCUACGAGGAGUACACCGUUAUAGUUUUUAUUUGGUGCAUGAUCUUUGUGGUCCUGAUAGAUGAAAUUUAAACAGAAAAUUUCAUGAUGAGGUCGAUGGACAUGACGAAAGAAUCAUAAUAAACAUGCUGGCAUGAACGAUACAAACAAUGGUGGAUCCAAAUUUUAUUUUUACUGGAGAAAGCAUAACAUAAUCAGCUUUGGUUGGUUAACAAGUUGAAAAUAUGGCCGAAUGCUAAUCAGAAAAGUGAUUGUCGGAAUCUAAAAACUAAGACUGUCCGGCUGAGCCACCCUGACCUGACUCAGAUCUCUAAAGCCAGUGACGUGAGCAAAACUGUCAAUCUUCAUCAGCUAACGCCUAAUUGGGCCUGCACGGGACAAGUAGUAGCAGAGCGAAACAUACCAAGAUAAACGCGAGUUGCAAUCGCUGGAAGUACAAGGAAACCGCUGAAAAUACUAAGAAUGCUAAGAUUACAAGCUCCCAUAUGACAAAGACUACAGCAUCCACCAUGCAAUCAAACCACCAAAUAACAGCUUAUCAACCAAGAAAGUAUAUCAAACAUAACUCGGGUCGGGUUAUGACUUUCCGAAUCCAUAGCAGAUUUGACCCGACCCGAAUUUAGAAGCCCAUAGCGUAACGAGUAAAUGAUGUAUUACGCAAACAUACAUUGGGCCUUGCGAGACCAUUUUAAGAAACUAGAAACUUGAGUUUUGUUGAUGGAAACGUUGCCGUAACGUGUACGGGAGUAAUUGAAGGUGGAUCAUUUGUGUUUACUCAAAAAAAUGUUUUAUCUUUGGGAUACAAUUGUCUCUUUAUCCUAAAAAAAGAGUUUUAAGAGAAAGUUGUAUGCGAUGGUGUAUAGUGGAUUAUUGUUAUUUUAGUCUUUAAUUAGAUCAAAAACAUACACUCAGAAAAAAAUGCAUGGUGACUCAAGAAUUUCACCAUGAGUGAGGCAUGAGCUACGGUUGUUAACACAGAUUGAACAGUAUCAGCCACAAACUAUGGUGGUUCUACAUUUAAUAUGUACACAUUUGUUUGUGUGUUUUCUCGGCUGCAUAAAAAGUUGAAUUCAGAUAGAGAAUCAUCACAAAAUAUUUUAUAUUUUGGAAGAUAUUAAAACUAUAUAUAUACUCACAUCAAUAUGUUCAAUCACUAUAAAAAAUACUCAUGAGUAUUUUGAUCCAUUUCCAUAGUAUUUUGUAAAUUAUAAUAUUUUGAUUCAUAUAUAAUUUGGAUGAGUAUUGUUUGAUCUGAUUUACUUUUUUCGGUAAAAAUCUGAUUUACUUCUUCAGCUAUUUAAAUGAAAGAUGAAGAGUAAGAAACUUAUACUAUAUAUUAGCUUGCUAACAACUUUUAUUGCAUUCAAAAUUUUAGAUCAAAUAUAUGCUGUUUAUCUGGUUCUUAUGAAUUAUGAUAUCAUUGUGAUCUGGAGGUUUCGUAUUUGGUGCACUCAAUUAUUUGUUUGCGAUCAAUUAGUUAAAAUUAAUUUCCCCAAACUAGCAGCAAACACAAUUGCUUUGUUUGGUAUGUGUCGGUAUAGCGACCGCCCUUAUGAUGCCUAAAAUACAAAGUUCGGUAAUGUUAGGGGUCGCGUGUACAUGAAACGUUUCAAUUUAUUAUGUGGCACGUCGACUUGAAUCUUUCAACCCAACACGACUCAAAAUAUAAUUAACUUUUGCAGUUUCCCAAAUGGUGCCUUCUCAAUGGCCCCAUCUGUUUACAAUUUUAUUAAAAUGAAAUGACCAGGAUUCGUCCGUAGUGGAUAUAACCAGAGAAGCCGAAAGUGACACUAGAAGCAUACAUACACCUUCACACCUUCAUACAUUUACAGAUUUACUUAUUUGCUUAUAGACGUUCUAUGUACGAUCUAUUUAGUCGUGAACUUAUUAUAUCAAUAUGAAUGAUUCAACGUUAAAAAAAAUCUUAAAGGGUAAAAUAUUUUAUUUUGAUAUAUAUAUAUAUAUGCGUUCCAUCGGCAUUUUUCUAUUUCUUUUGAGCGUCUUAUAAAUGAAAUUUAUUAUAGGGGCAAUGUAAG